UGAGUGCUCCGCAUGAAAGGAACCGCUCGGGGUCUCUGUAUAGCCGAGGCCAUUAUCAGUGGAUGGGGAAUCGACACGGGCUGUUGGAACCCUGAUGGUAUUUCUUCCUAUUAGAGGUCGUGGAUAUUACGAACCUUAUCUAAUCCAUGCUUUCCGAAAGGGUUCACCGCAUUCCCCCUAACUGGUGCAGAGCCGGUGGACCCAUAUGCAAUCUGCCAUAUUGAACGGGCACUAAGUUGGAUCUAUGACUACCCUGUAUUUUCUGUGCACGUCCGUCCAGAUCCAGUGAGAAACCAAACAACUGCUUUCGAGAGCUGGAAAAUCCACUCGGGUCUCUCGGGCCGGCCAAUGACACAGAGGCUGCUGCCAAGCUGGCCAAUGGGACAGAGGCAAUUUUUUUGUCCAACCAACCAACCAGUCAGAAGUGAAACAGUCCAACUGAAGACUAUGGAACCAUGGAGAUGGCGGCAAGACCACCAUUCUGUCCUUAAUAAUCAACUCGAAUAUGUAGGCUACAUAUUGUUUGAGAAAAUCAUUUCUGAGUUAAAGGGACAGUCUUCAGUUGAAACAAUUACAAAGUGGACACCCCGCCUCUGUAUUGGUUAAAAAAACGGAGGGAAGGGCCUGGAGAAAUGUAACCACUCUAAAAUGCAUAGAUAGCGCAAUGGAUGCAAGGACUGACCACCCAAUAUAUCAAAAAUAGUUUUAAGCAUGUUUUGUAGCUAAAUAUGUGUAUACCGAUACAAUUGGUUUUGGUUUGUUUGUUUACAUGUGCAAUGUUUACAAACAUUGGAGUAAAACAAGCUUAUAUUUUGGUUCUGAUGGGGUACGACAGUUGAACUAAAUUUAUGAGGCAUUUAUAUGUCAUAUUCUUCAAGAAUCAAUGGGCAACGGGUAUUCACACACUUGACUUUUUAAACAUUUUGUUGUGCCUUCAGAAAGUCUUCAUACUCCUUGACUUUUUAAACAUUUUGUUGUGUUACAAAGUGGGAUUCAAAUUCAAAAUGAAUUGUAUUUUUUUUUUGUCAACAACCUACACAAAAUACUAUAACAUUUGUUUUAAAAAAUGUAUGGAAAAUAAAACAUUAAUUUAUCUUGAUUAGCUACGUAUUCAACCCCCUGAGUCAAUACAUGUUAGCAUCACAUUUGACAGCUGUGUGCAAUAAUAAUAACAUGAUGCAGCCACCACCGUGCUUGAAAAUAUGAAGAGCGGUACUCAGUGAUGUGUUGUGUUGGAUUUGUCACAAACAUGCAGUAAUGCCUUGUAUUCAGGACAAAAGUAACAUUUCUUUGCCACAUUUUUUUGCAGUAUUACUUUAGUGCCCUGUUGCAAACAGGAUGCAUGUUUUAGAAUAUUUUUUAUCAUGUACAGGCUUCCUUAUUUUCACUGUCCUUUAGCAUUUAGGUUAGUAUUGUGGAGUAACUACAAUAUUGUUGAUCCAUUUCUCCUAUCACAGCCAUUAAACUCUGUAACUGUUUUAAAGUCACCAUUGGCCUCAUGGUGAAAUCCUUGAGCUGUUUCUUUCCUCUCUGGCAACUGAGUUAGGAAUGAUGCCUGAAUCCUUUUAGUGACUGGGUGUAUUGAUACACCAUCUAAAGUGUAAUUCAUAACUGCCCAAUGUUCAAAGGGAUAUUCAACGUCUGCCUAUUUAUAGUUUUACCCAUCUACCAAUAAGUGCCCUUCUUUGCAAACCAUUGGAAAACCUCCCUAGUCUGUGUAGUUGAAUCUGUGCUUAACAUUCACUGCUUGACUAAGGGGCCUUACAGAUAAUUGUAUGUGUGGGGGUACAGAGAUGAGGUAGUCAUUUAAAAGUCAUGUUAAACACUAUUAUUGCACACAGAGUGAGUCCAUGCAACUUAUUGUGUGACUUGUUAAGCACAUUUUAACUCCUGAACUAAUUUAGGCCAUAAUAAAAGGGUUGGACACUUAUUGACUCAAGACAUUUCAGCUUUUCCUUUUUAAUUCAUUUGUAAACAUUUCUAAAAACAUAAUUCCACUUUGAGAUUAUGGUGUAUUGUGCGUAUACCAGUGACAAAAAAAUCUCAAUUUAAUCCAUUUUAAAUUCAGGCUGUAACACAACAAAAUGUUGAAAAAGUCAAGGGGUGGGAAUACUUUCUGAAGGCACUGUAUCAAUCAUUUAUAAAUACACAAAUGGAUGUAGGAUCUCAAUUUGAGCCAGUUUGAUACAGCAUGAAAAUAAUCCUGUAGCAACAAGAAAUGUGAAUUAUGUGGAUUAUAAUUCAAAUCAAAAUCAAAUCAAAUCAAAUGUAUUUAUAUAGCCCUUCGUACAUCAGCUGAUAUCUCAAAGUGCUGUACAGAAACCCAGCCUAAAACCCCAAACAGCAAGCAAUGCAGGUGUAGAAGCACGGUGGCUAGGAAAAACUCCCUAGAAAGGCCAAAACCUAGGAAGAAACCUAGAGAGGAACCAGGCUAUGUGGGGUGGCCAGUCCUCUUCUGGCUGUGCUGGGUGGAGAUUAUAACAGAACAUGGCCAAGAUGUUCAAAUGUUCAUAAAUGACCAGCAUGGUCGWAUAAUAAUAAGGCAGAACAGKUGAAACUGGAGCAGCAGCACGGCCAGGUGGACUGGGGACAGCAAGGAGUCAUCAUGUCAGGUAGUCCUGGGGCAUGGUCCUAGGGCUCAGGUCCUCCGAGAGAGAGAAAGAAAGAGAGAAGGAGAGAAUUAGAGAACGCACACUUAGAUUCACACAGGACACCGAAUAGGACAGGAGAAGUACUCCAGAUAUAACAAACUGACCCUAGCCCCCCGACACAUAAACUACUGCAGCAUAAAUACUGGAGGCUGAGACAGGAGGGGUCAGGAGACACUGUGGCCCCAUCCGAGGACACCCCCGGACAGGGCCAAACAGGAAGGAUAAUUAACAGACAUUUUUUGUUGGGGUUGAUAGAUUUUUCUUAGGGCAAAUCAAGUCUGAUAUUUCUAACUGGAAAUGACUAACUUUAGAAGCCGUUUUAAAACUCAAGUUUAAAGAAUCCUUCUGUGCAUGAAUAUGCUCACAACGAAAUAAUGAUCAAAUUAAGAUCCUACAUCUGUAGCAACUGCAGAUUACCCCUUAAACAUAUAAUGCAUAACAAAUAAUUAUAGAAGGUAACAACAUAAUAAAGGCAUUCAACUUUUCCCUAAUGAAUAUGACAAACUCUGUGAAGUUGCCAGUGUGAAAAUGUACCACAAGAUGGUGCUAUAUCACUAACAAUCACUUGAAGAGUACCGGUAGCCUCAAUCAAUACCAUUUACACUGAACAAAAAUAUAAAUGCAACAUGUAAAGUCCUGGUCCCAUGUUUCAUGAGCUGAAAUUAAAAGUCUCUGAACUUUUCGAUAUGCACAGUUAGCUUAUUUCUCUCAAAUGUUGUGCACAAAUCUGUUUACAUACCUGUUUGUGAGCAUUUUAACUCUGCCAAGAUCAUCCAUCCACCAAACAGGUGUGGCAUAUCAAGAAGCUGAUUAAACAGCAUGAUCAUUACACAGGUGCACCUUGUGCUGGGGGACAAUAAAAGACCACUUUAAAAUGUGCAGUUUUGUCACACAAACACAAUGCAACAGAUGCAGAUGCAUCCAUUGCAGUUUCCAUUUCAAACAAAUCCAGCGGUAUUUACUUUGUGUUAUACAGCUACCGAAAACUGAGAAAUGGCCUUUUGGGGCUCUGAAAGUAUAUCAUACUCAAUAAAAGAUGGCAUUUUGCGGUUGACGCUUAAUGAUGUAAUUGACACUGUAGAUUGGUGUUUCAUGCUCUUCUAUGGAUGAGCCUUGUUUCAUUGGAGGAUCAGAUGGGUUGAURUUAAGAAUAGUUUAUUAAGACACAUUUUAUAUUUUGAUUGGCCUAUAGUAGCUCAAUAAGUAUGGGAGACCAGGGAUGGUUGUAACACAGGAUAGUUGUAACACUCAAUAUCUCCAAUCAGGAACAAGCUAGAAUCAUGUGACUCACUGCAUAUGCUCAGUUUAGUCCUCAACCCUCAUGAAGAAGCAAGAGGUAAGAAAGUACUUUUUUUUUAACCAAAUAUGUUUUUGUGAUGGCAUCACCUGCUUUAUAGUUAGAUUCACCAAACGUAUAUAAGCUUUAUAACCAGUGUGUGUAGAUAUGUUUGAUGUAUAGUGAACACAAAUAUAAAAUGCAACAUGUAAAGCUUUGGUCCCAUUUUAAAGGCCACUUUAAAAUGUGCAGUUUUGUCACACAACACAAUGACACAGAUGUCUCAAGUUUUGAGGGAGUGUGCAAUUGGCAUGUUGACUGCAGAAAUGUCCAUCAGAGCUGUUGCUAGAGAAUUUAAUGUUAAUUUCUCUACCAUAAGCUGCCACCAACGUCGUUUUAGAUAAUUUGGCAGUACUUCCAACUGGCCUCACAGCUGCAGACCACGUAUAACCACGCAAGUCCAAGAACUCCACAUCUGGGUUCUUUACCUGCGGGAUCAUCUGAGGGGGUGCUGAGGAGUAUUUCUGUCUGUAAUAAAGCCUGUUUGUUGGGAAAAACAAAUUCUGAUUGGCUGGGCCUGGCUCCCCAGUAGGUGGCCCUGGCUGCCAAGUGGGUGGGCUUAUGCCCUCCAAGGCCCACUCAUGGCUGCACCCUUGCCCAGUCAUGUGAAAUACAUAGAUUAGGGCCUAAUUUAUUUAUUUCAAUUGACUGAUUUCCAUAUAUAUGAACUCUAACUCAUUCAAAUAUUUUAAAUUGUUGCAUGUUGCGUUUAUAUAUUUUUACUCAGUUUAUAUACAUUUUACACAGAUUGCAGUCUACUGUCAAUAAAUAGUAGGGGAGACCAGGGAUGGUUGUUACACUUUUUGCAUUUUUGUAAAUUUUUCUGAGAUUGUUUGAGCUACUACAUUUAAAAUGUGAUACAAACAACUACCAUUUGUCAGCUACAAAUUUGUAUAGGUUUCAUCUCUCUAAACCAAACAGACAUGGUGUGACUUCAGCUGUCUCAAAUACAGGGAGUAUAAUAUUACAAUUUACCCCAACUCCCGGGUAAGUUGUAAUAGGGCUUGUGUGUGGUGUGUGUGUGUGUGUGUGUGUGUGUGUGUGUGUGUGUGUGUGUCUGUGUGAGAGAGAGAGAGAGAGAGAGAGAGAGAGAGAGAUUUGCUACCUGUUAAAACCUUAGCAUUGCUAACUUACACUGAACAAAAAUAUAAACACAACAUGCAACAAUUUCUAAGAUUUUACUGAGGUACAGCUAUAUAUGUAAAUUGGUCAAUUUAAAUUAACUCAUUAGGAACUAAUCUAUGGAUUUCACAUGACUGGGAUACAGAUAUGGAUCUGUUGGUGACAGAUACCUUUAACACCUGGCUCCAGGUCAUCUACAAGUCCUGCUAGGUAAAGCUCCGCCUUAUCUCAGUUCACUGGUCACGAUGGCAACACCCACCCGUAGCCGCGCUCCAGCGGUGUAUCUCACUGAUCAUCCUAAAGCCAACACCUCAUUUGGCCGCCUUUCGUUCCAGUUCUCUGCUGCCUGUGACUGGAACGAAUUACAAAAAUCGCUGAAGUUGGAGACUUAUCUCCCUCACCAACUUCAAACAUUUGCUAUCUGAGCAGCUAACCGACGCUG
ensembl:lncRNA